GGGUUGUGAGGUUAAGCGACUAAGCGUACACGGUGGAUGCCCUGGCAGUCAGAGGCGAUGAAGGACGUGCUAAUCUGCGAUAAGCGUCGGUAAGGUGAUAUGAACCGUUAUAACCGGCGAUUUCCGAAUGGGGAAACCCAGUGUGAUUCGUCACACUAUCAUUAACUGAAUCCAUAGGUUAAUGAGGCGAACCGGGGGAACUGAAACAUCUAAGUACCCCGAGGAAAAGAAAUCAACCGAGAUUCCCCCAGUAGCGGCGAGCGAACGGGGAGGAGCCCAGAGCCUGAAUCAGUGUGUGUGUUAGUGGAAGCGUCUGGAAAGGCGCGCGAUACAGGGUGACAGCCCCGUACACAAAAAUGCACAUGCUGUGAGCUCGAUGAGUAGGGCGGGACACGUGGUAUCCUGUCUGAAUAUGGGGGGACCAUCCUCCAAGGCUAAAUACUCCUGACUGACCGAUAGUGAACCAGUACCGUGAGGGAAAGGCGAAAAGAACCCCGGCGAGGGGAGUGAAAAAGAACCUGAAACCGUGUACGUACAAGCAGUGGGAGC
rnacentral:rRNA from 2 species